rnacentral:rRNA from 1 species
UACGAAGGGGGCUAGCGUUGCUCGGAAUCACUGGGCGUAAAGCGCACGUAGGCGGAUUGUUAAGUCAGGGGUGAAAUCCUGGAGCUCAACUCCAGAACUGCCUUUGAUACUGGCGAUCUUGAGUCCGGGAGAGGUGAGUGGAACUGCGAGUGUAGAGGUGAAAUUCGUAGAUAUUCGCAAGAACACCAGUGACGAAGGCGGCUCACUGGCCCGGUACUGACGCUGAGGUGCGAAAGCGUGGGGAGCAAACAGG